AUCCCAUGGUGGGGACAUUAUCUAAUUAACUCUUUAAGUAAUUCCCAUGCAUCAUAUAAAGAUUUGUCAUCUUCUUGUCUAAACAAAGUGGUCCCAUUCCUCAUCUU